rnacentral:rRNA from 1 species
UGGGGAAUAUUGCACAAUGGGCGCAAGCCUGAUGCAGCCAUGCCGCGUGUAUGAAGAAGGCCUUCGGGUUGGAAAGUACUUUCAGCGGGGAGGAAGGGAGUAAAGUUAAUACCUUUGCUCAUUGACGUUACCCGCAGAAGAAGCACCGGCUAACUCCGUGCCAGCAGCCGCGGUAAUACGGAGGGUGCAAGCGUUAAUCGGAAUUACUGGGCGUAAAGCGCACGCAGGCGGUUUGUUAAGUCAGAUGUGAAAUCCCCGGGCUCAACCUGGGAACUGCAUCUGAUACUGGCAAGCUUGAGUCUCGUAGAGGGGGGUAGAAUUCCAGGUGUAGCGGUGAAAUGCGUAGAGAUCUGGAGGAAUACCGGUGGCGAAGGCGGCCCCCUGGACGAAGACUGACGCUCAGGUGCGAAAGCGUGGGGAGCAAACAGG